rnacentral:lncRNA from 1 species
UAUGACAUAACAUUAACUUUUAUAAUAAUUUAAUUAUUUCAUUAGGUCCAUCCUCUGCAGGUGAGGAGCACUUACCAACACCUGCAUCCACUGAUCCUGCUGUUCCUUCCAUGUCUGUUUCAACCUCAACAGAUGUGGCAGGUCAUUCUAUUUGUGGUCAUUGGUGUCAAUGUCACAUGCACUCCCUUAGCAACUUUUAGCCUACACUAUGGAUCAACAGCUCCUCCAGUUGACCAGCGGCGUGGUCAUCUAUCCUGUCCGACUCAUAAAGGACUGAUCUGGAUCUUGUCUUCAGUCAUCUGCUACCUGCCCUCUGUGUGUUCGUUCCUGCAUCUGCAAGAUAGGCAUUCAGCUAAGUCAUAGCAAGCUCCAUUGAGCUGCCAUACCUAAUGUUGCUUCAUUCUCGUAUCUGUUUGGUGUCAGCAGUUCAAUAAACCGGUUUUUCAUUAGCUGUCUGUCGUCGUCUUU